rnacentral:snRNA from 1 species
AACUUUGUGCAAUGGCAGUAUUGUAGCCAGUGAGGUUUAUCCGAGGCACAAUUAUUGCUACUUUUGGGAGAAACUGGUUUACUGAAGUUGGGAUUAAUUCACACUG